GAAUAAAACUGAAAGUAGGAAGAACAGAGAGAUUGAGUAACUCGCUGAAGGUCGCACAGGCAGGAGAUUGUGGAUGGGGCUGUUAACCGGGUCUCUCAACUGCCAGCGUCCAAGCUCUUACAGCAGGUUUUCUCUGGAAGCUCUGAGCCC